UACGUAGGGAGCGAGCGUUAUCCGGAAUCACUGGGCGUAAAGGGCUCGUAGGCGGUUCGGUAAGUUGCGUGUUAAAUCUCCGGGCUUAACCCGGAAACCGCGCGCAAUACUGCCGUGCUAGAGAGUGGGAGAGGAAAAUGGAAUUCCCGGUGUAGCGGUGAAAUGCAUAGAUAUCGGGAAGAACACCAGUGGCGAAGGCGAUUUUCUGGACCAUUUCUGACGCUGAGGAGCGAAAGCCAGGGGAG
rnacentral:rRNA from 1 species